rnacentral:rRNA from 1 species
CCUACGGGAGGCAGCAGUGAGGAAUAUUGGACAAUGGGCGCAAGCCUGAUCCAGCCAUGCCGCGUGCAGGAAGACGGUCCUAUGGAUUGUAAACUGCUUUUGUACAGGAAGAAACACUCCCUCGUGAGGGAGCUUGACGGUACUGUAAGAAUAAGGAUCGGCUAACUCCGUGCCAGCAGCCGCGGUAAUACGGAGGAUCCAAGCGUUAUCCGGAAUCAUUGGGUUUAAAGGGUCCGUAGGCGGUUUAAUAAGUCAGUGGUGAAAUCUGGUCGCUCAACGAUCAAACGGCCAUUGAUACUGUUAGACUUGAAUUAUUAGGAAGUAACUAGAAUAUGUAGUGUAGCGGUGAAAUGCUUAGAUAUUACAUGGAAUACCAAUUGCGAAGGCAGGUUACUACUAAUGGAUUGACGCUGAUGGACGAAAGCGUGGGGAGCGAACAGGAUUAGAUACCCUGGUAGUCCACGCCGUAAACGAUGGAUACUAGCUGCUCGGAGCAAUCUGAGUGGCUAAGCGAAAGUGAUAAGUAUCCCACCUGGGGAGUACGUUCGCAAGAAUGAAACUCAAAGGAAUUGACGG